rnacentral:rRNA from 1 species
AUGGCCACGUCGAUUUACUGUGCCGAGGGAAUAAAGAAAAAAAAGAGAUAUGGUCGAGCGCACGAAUUGCGGGAUUGGUCAGCGACUCUUUCGCCCCUCACACCCAGCGUCUCCCUCCUUGCUAGGGUUAGGAAAAACGUGGCCGCCGCCGCCGCCGCCGCCCUCCCCCACUUCGCUCCAGGUCACCCCUCUCCAUGUCCCGUCCUGAGCUCCACCUCCUCCAGCCCCCGCCUGGGCUCUGCUCCUUCUUCCUUGUUGGCGCUCAACCGGACGAGGGUGGACUGCCACAAGCCGCAGCAGAGGGACACGUCGAUGAGGAUGGCAAGUCGAGAGGGGAUCGGGAGGCAUGAGGCGUGGAUACGGGUGGAGCGGCUGAAGAAGGGGUUAUGUGGGGCAACCGUCCCGUCUUCUUCCGUGGAGUGGUCACUGUCGUCGCCAAGCUACUCAACUCGUCGAACACGAUGUCGCCAUGUUCGGGAAGAAGGAUUAUCAGCAGUGGCGUCUCCUUUGCCGAAUGGGAAGGAUACAUCCCGGCCUGGCCACCGCUGGCAUGUCGGUGCCCUCAACAAGUUCCUGCACGGGGAUGUGAAGUCUGGUCCGAGGCCGCUUGGCAGGAUGGCGCUCACUCUAGUGCCAAGUAGAAUUCUUGAGCUCCUGCUUCACUUGCAAGAAGAAGCUACAGAAAGGCAUACUGAUCUAAUUGUUGUGUGCCAUUGCAUCGGUGAGAAGGCAUUCUGCAGUGCCGACUGCCGGGACCAAGAGAUCAUGAUCGAAGAGGAAGCAAAGAACAAGAUCGCCAUCAGAUGCUUGUCCUGCUCAUCCCUGCCCACCGGUGGAUGGAACGGACAACAGCGGAGGACAUGGACAUGGCUUGUCCUGCUCGUCCUGAACAACGUCGAGCAACAGUCUUAUUUGGGAAUACAUGUGAAACAUUUUGUGAUCUUUCAUGCUUCUGUCCUCUCCUCAGGGUUUGACGCUGCUGCUUCUUACCUCUGUAGAGAUCCUGGUAUGGUGCCUCGUAACAAUGAUACUGGAAAUGGUCAGACUCCACAACAAUUGCGCUUACCACGAACAAAGGAUGUUAUUGUAAAUGGAACCGUUGUAAAGGUCAAGUACUACCACACCUACAUGCUGCACCCGCCACCUCGUUCUUCUCACUGUUCUAUCUAUGACAACUGUGUGGAGCGUUUUGAUCAUCACUGUCCUUGGGUUGGUCAAUGCAUAGGACUGGUAACUAUAUUAAUGCCUAAUAGUCUACUCUGCCUCUACGUGUCUGGGUUCUGCUGGGUGUACAUAACUAAGAUCAAAGAUGCAGAGGAUUCAUCGAUUUGGAGGGCAAUGUUGAAGACACCUGCCGAGUGGUUCUGA